rnacentral:rRNA from 1 species
UACGGAGGGUGCAAGCGUUAUCCGGAUUCACUGGGCUUAAAGGGUGCGUAGGCGGACACUUAAGUCCGUGGUGAAAUCUCUGGGCUUAACCCAGAAACUGCCAUGGAUACUAUUUGUCUUGAAUGUUGUGGAGGUUAGCGGAAUAUGUCAUGUAGCGGUGAAAUGCAUAGAUAUGACAUAGAACACCAAUUGCGAAGGCAGCUCGCUACACGAAGAUUGACUCUGAGGCACGAAAGCGUGGGGAUCAAACAGG